rnacentral:rRNA from 1 species
AAUAGAUACCCUGGUAGUCCAUGCCGUAAACGUUGGGCACUAGGUGUGGGGCUCAUUCCACGAGUUCCGUGCCGCAGCAAACGCAUUAAGUGCCCCGCCUGGGGAGUACGGCCGCAAGGCUAAAACUCAAAGGAAUUGACGGGGGCCCGCACAAGCGGCGGAGCAUGCGGAUUAAUUCGAUGCAACGCGAAGAACUUUACCAAGGCUUGACAUGCACGGGAAGCCACCAGAGAUGGUGGUCUCUUUGGACACUCGUGCACAGGUGGUGCAUGGUUGUCGUCAGCUCGUGUCGUGAGAUGUUGGGUUAAGUCCCGCAACGAGCGCAACCCUCGUCCCAUGUUGCCAGCGGGUUAUGCCGGGGACUCAUGGGAGACUGCCGGGGUCAACUCGGAGGAAGGUGGGGAUGACGUCAAAUCAUCAUGCCCCUUAUGUCUUGGGCUUCACGCAUGCUACAAUGGCCGGUACAAAGGGCUGCGAUGCCGUAAGGUGGAGCGAAUCCCAAAAAGCCGGUCUCAGUUCGGAUUGGGGUC